rnacentral:ncRNA from 1 species
AGACUCGCGCACGUUCCAGGUGCUCGCCCUUUUUCGUCCCUGGCGAAGGGGCAGUUCAACGGGAAACAGGGAGCCGGGCCGGCUGCGCGCCGGACAGGCCAACCUGUGCUGCCCCCGCAACGGUAAGCGACCGCGGUGCGCAUACGCCAGCCACGCCGGCUGGCACGGCCCGAUCCGUCAUCGGAUGCACGGCCACUGCCCGCAGGACCGGCCACACGCCACUGAACCGCAGGUUCGGGAAGGCGCCGGUUUCGUGUCGCCAGCCCGGAUACCGGCCUGAACGCGGGCUGCCGCC